CUGUCACGUGAGUCGGGAUCAGCUCCGUGUUUUCAUUACAAAAUAAAUACAGCUAACCUGAAUGUGUCUGUCGUGAAGUCAGCCUAGCGGAUCUGAAAGGAACAUAGAAUGGAUUCAGUGAGAAUCAGCUUCUCUAAAACUGAGGCGAAUGUUUUCCACUGGGCUGGGAAACAGCGGCUUCGCUGCCUGGCUCACACAGCAGCUGGUCGAUCUCCGUCUCGAGCACAAAUCUUUAACUUGGUGCUUUGUUCAAGGUGAGAAUGGAAUGAAAAAUGGAUUUAUGGAACAGGACCUUGUCUGCAGGGAUGCAGAUGCGACUCCUGGUGAGCAAAGCCAAA